rnacentral:lncRNA from 1 species
CAGUGAACCUAAAGAUUUGACAUCAGUGUUAACAAAGAGACAACUGACAGAGAUCUCAACAACCACUGGAGUUGAGCCAGCCUCUCUUGGUUAAUUUUUUGAAUAGAAGAAGUUUUUUUUUAAGGAUUUGUUUCUCACACAAAGUAACCAUCUGUUUUUUCUGACAGGUUCCUUGAUUCCUGUCAUUUCUAACUAUGUCUCUAAAAUAGAUUUUCUAGAGAAUUGCUUUUGGAAUGAUGGGGAAGAGUUCAUGAGGAAAAUUCACCAACUGAAGUGACCACAAACUAAAGAAAUAUGUGGACAGAACAUUUCCUAAAAGAUAAUAUUGAUAGAUUUUGGAAAACG